rnacentral:rRNA from 1 species
GACGAACGCUGGCGGCGUGCUUAACACAUGCAAGUCGAACGGUAAGGCCCUUCGGGGUACACGAGUGGCGAACGGGUGAGUAACACGUGGGUGAUCUGCCCUGCACUUCGGGAUAAGCCUGGGAAACUGGGUCUAAUACCGGAUAGGACCAUGGACUUCACGGUUUGUGGUGGAAAGCUUUUGCGGUGUGGGAUGGGCCCGCGGCCUAUCAGCUUGUUGGUGGGGUAAUGGCCUACCAAGGCGACGACGGGUAGCCGGCCUGAGAGGGUGUCCGGCCACACUGGGACUGAGAUACGGCCCAGACUCUUACGGGAGGCAGCAGUGGGGAAUAUUGCACAAUGGGCGCAAGCCUGAUGCAGCGACGCCGCGUGAGGGAUGACGGCC